AAAAGAGGAAGAGAGACAGUAAUAUGAAGAGGGGAGAGAGAGAGAGAGAGAGUCAAACAAAAAAGAAGAGAGCGAACAAGAGAGAUGAACAUAGAGAGGAGGCGAACAGAGAGAGAGAGAGAGAUGCGAAAGAAACAAAGAAUAGAGCUUAAGAAGCACGGAAACUUCUAAGAAUGUGACGUAUCUGUGUCGGACACCGACACUCUUUGGACACUCUUAGGGCACAUUUUUUAAAUUUUUUUAAAGAUUCGGACACUUUUUGAACACUUGGAGGACACCCGUGUUAAUCACUUAACACGUUUCUAUUAAUUAGACAUAUAUGAAACUAAUUAUAAGUUUGAACAAAACAAUUUAAAAUACAAUAAUAAAAUAAAAAUCAUAUAAAUUUAUAGGAAUUAGUGUCAUAUUGUAUUUUUUUUAUUGUCUUUGAAUAAUAUAUUAAUGUGUCGUGUCUUGCACUUUUUUAAAAUUAACGUGUCGGCGUGUCCGUGUCUGUGUCCAUGCUUCUUAGAACAGAGCACCGAAAAGAGGGAGAGAGAGAGAGUCGAAGAAGAUGAACAGGUUUGAUGAUGAACAGAGAGCACUGAACAGAGGGAGAGAGUUGAACACACAGAUGGGAAGAACAUACCUCGAUCUAGCCUCGACGGGCUUCAACAGAUUCUUUGGAGGAAAGUGUUACUAUACACAACCACUAAAGAGGGUAUAUAUAGUAUGCACUUAAAAUUUCAGUCACAAACACAAUUGUUCAUGGGUUACUCAAUGAAGCAGUUUAAUGGCUUCUAUUCGUCACUGGUCUUUACGAAUGGUCUUCACUUCUGUGGGUAUGUCAGUGUCAUGUACCCUUUUUAAAAAAAAAAAAAUAAUUCACAUCUGUUUGAUGGUGUUCCAAGGCUUUUGAUGAAUUCCAUCUUCAAAGCAUUGACUAGUCACUCACGAGUAAUUAUAUCCAAGGCUUUCCUUAGUCACUUUGUUUCUAUGGUGCCCCCAACUAUUUAGACUUUCUCAUGCUGCCCCCAGUUUGAAGUCUUGCUAAACAAUAAAGCGAAUUCUAGUCUUCUAGUCAGAUCAUGCGCUUAGGGAACACAAUUUGUUGGAUCACUAUACUUGGUUCUCUUGUUUUAUAUGUGGUUGCAUUGUUAACGAAGGUGUAUGGAUAUUGCAGUGUCUUUCUUAGUGCUAGAAUAAUGGUUACGUGCUGGCUGUUCAGCUUCGACUUAGAUAAAUCACAAAUACUGAAUGAUAAUUUAUUACCACUUGGCUGUGAAAGUAGUUUAUUUUCUGCAAUUUUCGUUUGAAAUUCAGAAAUGUAGCAUAGAAAGCUAAGUCUGUCGAAAUUGCAUCUGAUAAUUUUUUUAUCCAUUCUUGAUUUGAGGAUGCUUCAUGUUGCAAUUAUCCUUGUCUUGCGCAUCAUGGUUUAUACUAUUUCUGUAGGAGGCAGUCUCAUGGAUUUAUGACACCUAAAUUGAAUGAGUAUUUUUGGAUUUGUUAUAUUGGAUUUGUCAGUUAGAGAUGAUUUGAUUAUAGAGAUUACAAGACCUUGCUUGGAUUGGUUCCAACCUCUUUAGAUUCCCAUUUUCCUCUGCUCCUUUAUUGUCUCCCUUGGUGUUACAUCAAUAUUGUGUGAUCACAAAUGUAACCUUUGUUUUGUUGUAGAUGGUGUUUAAUCAGGAUCUGUAAUUUGUUUAGUCUGGACUAAUGUUGCCUUUUCAGAUUCAAUAAAAUUUUUGAUGGUUUUAUUAUCUUCCUUGGUGCGUGAAGUCCUUCAUUCCAGAUGCAAGAAGUUAAAUUGGAUAUUAUGUCCUUUUUAUGUAAUUAUGUUACUAUGUACUGCAUUUUUAUAAUAUACAAAUUAUAGCAUUUGAUUU